GUGCUUGCUUCAGCAGCACAUAUGCUAAAAUUGGAAUGAUACAGAGAUUAGCAUGGCCUCUGUGCACGGAUGACAGGCAAAUUUGCGCAGCGUCCAUAUUAAAU